UUUAAGAAUAAUAAUUGUUUUCGACACAAUUUAAGAAUAAUCUCUCUUAAAU
rnacentral:tRNA from 1 species